rnacentral:rRNA from 1 species
CAGUAGCCGCGGUAAUACGAAGGGUGCAAGCGUUAAUCGGAAUUACUGGGCGUAAAGCGUGCGUAGGCGGUUUGUUAAGUCUGUUGUGAAAUCCCCGGGCUCAACCUGGGAAUGGCAAUGGAUACUGGCAAGCUAGAGUGUGUCAGAGGAUGGUGGAAUUCCCGGUGUAGCGGUGAAAUGCGUAGAGAUCGGGAAGAACAUCAGUGGCGAAGGCGGCCAUCUGGGACAACACUGACGCUGAGGCACGAAAGCGUGGGGAGCAAACAGGAUUAGAGACCCCGGUAGUCCCUGUCUCUUAUAA